rnacentral:rRNA from 1 species
GNCGCCAGCGAGGUAUUAUGUGGUUUAAUUCGAAGCAACGCGUAAUAACCUUACCAGCACUUGACAUCCGACUAACGAAGUAGAGAUACAUUAGGUGCCCUUCGGGGGAAAGUCNAGACAGGUGGUGCAUGGUUGUCGUCAGCUCGCUGUCGUGAGAUGUUGGGUUAAGUCCCGCAACNAGCGCAACCCCUGCCAUUAGUUGCUACGCAAGAGCACUCUAAUGGGACCGCUACCGACNAGGUGGAGGAAGGUGGGGACGACGUCAAAUCAUCAUGCCCCUUAUGUGCUGGGCUACACACGUAAUACAAUGGCCAUCAACAAAGAGAAGCAAUACCGCGAGGUGGAGCAAAACUUCAAAAAUGGUCUCAGUUCGGACUGCAGGCUGCAACCCGCCUGCACGAAGUUGGAAUUGCUAGUAAUCGUGGAUCAGCAUGCCACGGUGAAUACGUUCCCGGGUCUUGUACACACCGCCCGU